UACAGAGGGGGCAAGCGUUGUUCGGAAUUACUGGGCGUAAAGGGCGCGUAGGCGGCCUGCUAAGUCGAACGUGAAAUCCCUGGGCUCAACCCAGGAACUGCGUCCGAUACUGGUUGGCUUGAAUCCGGGAGAGGGACGUGGAAUUCCAGGUGUAGCGGUGAAAUGCGUAGAUAUCUGGAGGAACACCGGUGGCGAAGGCGACGUCCUGGACCGGCAUUGACGCCGAGGCGCGAAAGCCAGGGGAGCAAACGGG
rnacentral:rRNA from 1 species